rnacentral:rRNA from 1 species
ACAUGCCUACAACAUACUGUUAAUGCAUUGGAUCCCAUUAGAACUCAAUAGUUAAGUGCGCUUGGGCUAGAGUAGUACUGGGAUGGGUGAUCGCCAAGAAGUCCUAGUAUUUUACAUGCC